GUGCUCGCUUUGGCAGCACAUAUACUAAAAUUGGAACGAUACAGAGAAGAUUAGCAUGGCCCCUGCGCAAACUUUUCCAGUUUUUGCCAGUGAUUAAAUUAGGCUCU